rnacentral:rRNA from 1 species
GGUUGUCCCGGUUUAAGCGUGUAGGUGUGUGUUCCAGGUAAAUCCGGUUCACUUUAACACUGAGGCGUGACGACGAGGCACUACGGUGCUGAAGCAACAAAUGCCCUGCUUCCAGGAAAAGCCUCUAAGCAUCAGGUAACAUCAAAUCGUACCCCAAACCGACACAGGUGGUCAGGUAGAGAAUACCAAGGCGCUUGAGAGAACUCGGGUGAAGGAACUAGGCAAAAUGGUGCCGUAACUUCGGGAGAAGGCACGCUGACACGUAGGUGAAGUGAUUUACUCAUGGAGCUGAAGUCAGUCGAAGAUACCAGCUGGCUGCAACUGUUUAUUAAAAACACAGCACUGUGCAAACACGAAAGUGGACGUAUACGGUGUGACGCCUGCCCGGUGCCGGAAGGUUAAUUGAUGGGGUCAGCGCAAGCGAAGCUCCUGAUCGAAGCCCCGGUAAACGGCGGCCGUAACUAUAACGGUCCUAAGGUAGCGAAAUUCCUUGUCGGGUAAGUUCCGACCUGCACGAAUGGCGUAAUGAUGGCCAGGCUGUCUCCACCCGAGACUCAGUGAAAUUGAACUCGCUGUGAAGAUGCAGUGUACCCGCGGCAAGACGGAAAGACCCCGUGAACCUUUACUAUAGCUUGACACUGAACAUUGAGCCUUGAUGUGUAGGAUAGGUGGGAGGCUUUGAAGUGUGGACGCCAGUCUGCAUGGAGCCGACCUUGAAAUACCACCCUUUAAUGUUUGAUGUUCUAACGUGGACCCGUUACCCGGGUUGCGGACAGUGUCUGGUGGGUAGUUUGACUGGGGCGGUCUCCUCCUAAAGAGUAACGGAGGAGCACGAAGGUUGGCUAAUCCUGGUCGGACAUCAGGAGGUUAGUGCAAUGGCAUAAGCCAGCUUGACUGCGAGCGUGACGGCGCGAGCAGGUGCGAAAGCAGGUCAUAGUGAUCCGGUGGUUCUGAAUGGAAGGGCCAUCGCUCAACGGAUAAAAGGUACUCCGGGGAUAACAGGCUGAUACCGCCCAAGAGUUCAUAUCGACGGCGGUGUUUGGCACCUCGAUGUCGGCUCAUCACAUCCUGGGGCUGAAGUAGGUCCCAAGGGUAUGGCUGUUCGCCAUUUAAAGUGGUACGCGAGCUGGGUUUAGAACGUCGUGAGACAGUUCGGUCCCUAUCUGCCGUGGGCGCUGGAGAACUGAGGGGGGCUGCUCCUAGUACGAGAGGACCGGAGUGGACGCAUCACUGGUGUUCGGGUUGUCAUGCCAAUGG